rnacentral:lncRNA from 10 species
GCUGAGGCAGGAAAAUCGCUUGAGCCCAGGAGUUCUGGGCUUUAGUAAGCUAUGCCAAUCAGAGAUCUGCACUAAGUUUGGUAUCAAUACAGUGACCUCCAGGGAGCAAGGUUGCCUAAGGAGUGGUGAACUGGCCCAGGUCAGAAACAGAGCAGGUUAAAACUUCUGUGCUGAUCAGUAGUGGGAUCAUGACCAUGAAUAGCCACUGCACUUAAGCCUGGGCAAUAUAGCAAGACACUGUCUCUUAAAAAAGAAAAAGAAAGUUUAAGCAGCCCAUAUUUGAGAGCAGAAACCCUUCACAGUCUUGAAGAAGACCUUUAACAGCCAAUGCAGACAAGGAGGCUUGUGAGGAAUCUCUCAGAUCAAUCCAUCUCUCUCCCUUUCCCUUCACUCCAGGCACCCUCACAAAUUGUGUCUCCCAAGUGUGAUAUCUGAGGACUAGAAAUCAGUCAUUCUGUCUCUCUUCUGUACACUGAGUACAGAGUUGUGUGAUGUUCCUCUUUGGAGCCUCACAAAUACUUUCCAGUUCGUGGGUAAAGAGGUACCAUAGUGAUAUAGUUUGGAUAUUUGUCCCACCCAGAUCUCAUGUCAAAAUGUAAUAGCCAGUGUUGGAGGUGGGGCCUGGUGGGAGGUGAUUGGCUCGUUGGGGUGGAUUUUUUGUGAAUGGUUUAGCAACAUCCUCUUGGUGCUGUCUUCCUGACACUGAGUCACUCAUCACGAGAUCUGGCUGUUUAAAAGUGUGGCACUUAUCCUCUCUAGCUCUUGCUUUCACCAUGUGACAUGCCUGCUCUCCUUUCACCUUCCACCAUGAUUGUAAUCUUCCUAAAGCCUCCCCAGAAGCCAAGCAGAUGCCGGCGCCAUGCUUUCUGU